rnacentral:rRNA from 1 species
GGGCUCACACAAGCGGUGGAUGAUGUGGCUUAAUUCGAGGCAACGCGAAGAACCUUAUCCUGGACUUGACAUGCUUGGAUGGCUCGCCCGAAAGGGAUGAGUCUGCCUUCGGGUGAAACUUGCACAGGUGCUGCAUGGCUGUCGUCAGCUCGUGUCGUGAGACGUCGCGUUAAGUCGCUUAACGAGCGCAACCCUUGUCCUUAGUUGCCAGCACGUAAUGGUGGGGACUCUAAGGAGACCGCCGGUGUCAAACCGGAGGAAGGCGGGGACGACGUCAAGUCAUCAUGGCCUUUAUGUUCAGGGCUUCACGCAUGCUACAAUGGCCGGUACAGAGGGCUGCAAUACCGCAAGGUGGAGCGAA